ACGUGUGUGUAUGUGUGUGUGUGUUCGUGUGGGUGAGUGGGUGAGGAAAUAGAGAGAAGGAAAGGAGAAAAGAAAAAAGAAAAAGGUAUAUUGGAACCCUUUUCCUCGCUUUUGCUCUCCUUUCCCCCUCCUUCUUUCCCUUUCUUUCUUCUUCUUUCUCUUCUUUCUUGUUGCUGCUGUGGGUUGUGGUCGUUGUCGUCGGUGAAUUCUUGAGCAAGUUCUGAGAAACUGUGGUAGGGUGGUUACUUGUUUGGCUAUCGAUAUUUUGAGAUUCUGAAUCAUCAUCUGAAGAAAAUUGAUAUAGUGGAGGAAAGAGGAAAGGAUAAAAAAAGAUAUGAUUUAUUAUUGCAUGGGGUGAGUUUAUGCUUUAAUUGAUAUUCUGAUAUGAAUUUAUUCAAAUUUUGCUUUAUAUUGGAUGAUUCUGUAGUGAUUAAUUUUGAUUAUAUUAUUAAAAAAAUUUCAGAAUUAGCUAAAUGGCUUGAUGUGUUUUGAAAAAGGAUUCAAGAUAAUGUUCAAGAAUUCAAACAAUUGGUAGAAUGUUCUUAAGGGACGUAGAAAGGAAUCAAAGAUUUGGAAUGAAUUAGAAAUGACAUACUAAGCUUAAGUUAAAUUCUACCAUAUAUAUAUAAUUCUUUGCAUAAGUCAUACUAUAAAUAUGCAAGUAUUUAUAAAAGACUAAAAUCAUCUUGAUAAGAAUUUCUUCUAUAGGCAUAUAGGUUGAAUAAUAAGUGUUUAAAACUUUGAUUACAACUAGUGAUACAAGCAAAAGGAUUGAAGGUCUAGCAUUAAGAUAUGUGGUGACAAAACUUAAAAAUUGAUUAGAUCCAAUAUUAUUACUUAUUUGGAAAUUUGGAAAUCAGUAAUUAGUGGAUCAUGAAGGAGGUAUGUAGUAAGUAAGAACUAAGUCUUUAUUUUUGGAAGGAGCUAAGUAUAUGUUGAUAAUGGUAGUGUUAUAAAAACAGAAGAUAUGAUUGUCAUCAAAAUUGCAAGCAUGUCAGUAGAGGGAGGCGCUCUAAUCCAGUGGAAUAAAUGUUGAUACAGAUGAUUAAAGAAAAAAAGAAGGAAAGAAUCAGUAGGCUUUAGAAAAUUUGAUAUUAGAACGGAGCGUUAGAAUUGGAAUUAGGAUAGUUAAG